rnacentral:rRNA from 1 species
GACGAACGCUGGCGGCGUGCCUAAUACAUGCAAGUCGAACGCAGUGGGGACGGGUGAGUAACACGUGGGUAACCUCCCAUCAGAGGGGAUAACACUUGGAAACAGGUGCUAAACCGAUACUGAUGGAUGGACCCGCGGGGCAUUAGCUAGUUGGUUAGGUAACGGCUGACCAAGGCCACGAUGCAUAGCCGGCCUUGGAGGGUGAGCGGCCACACUGGGACUGAGGCACGGCCCGGACUCCUCGGCGAGGCAGGAGUAGGGAAUCUUCGACAAUGGACGAAAGUCUGGCCGAGCAGCGCCGCGUGAGUGAAGAGGGUGUUCGGAUCGUAAAUCUCUGUUAUUAGAGAAGCGUUGUCUAUCCAGAAGGCCACGGCUAACUACGUGCCAGCAGCCGCGGUAAUAC